UACGUAGGGAGCAAGCGUUGUCCGGAAUCAUUGGGCGUAAAGCGCGCGUAGGUGGCCUCAUAAGUCCGCUGUGAAAGUCAAAGGCUCAACCUUUGAAAGCCGGUGGAUACUGUGAGGCUAGAGUACGGAAGAGGCGAGUGGAAUUCCUGGUGUAGCGGUGGAAUGCGCAGAUAUCAGGAGGAACACCAAUAGCGAAGGCAGCUCGCUGGGACGUUACUGACACUGAGGCGCGAAAGCGUGGGGAGUGAACAGG
rnacentral:rRNA from 1 species